AGUGAACGCUGGCGGUAGGCCUAACACAUGCAAGUCGAACGGCAGCACAGUAAGAGCUUGCUCUUACGGGUGGCGAGUGGCGGACGGGUGAGGAAUACAUCGGAAUCUACUUUUUCGUGGGGGAUAACGUAGGGAAACUUACGCUAAUACCGCAUACGACCUACAGGUGAAAGCAGGGGAUCUUCGGACCUUGCGCGAUUGAAUGAGCCGAUGUCGGAUUAGCUAGUUGGCGGGGUAGAGGCCCACCAAGGCGACGAUCCGUAGCUGGUCUGAGAGGAUGAUCAGCCACACUGGAACUGAGACACGGUCCAGACUCCUACGGGAGGCAGCAGUGGGGAAUAUUGGACAAUGGGCGCAAGCCUGAUCCAGCCAUACCGCGUGGGUGAAGAAGGCCUUCGGGUUGCAAAGCCCUUUUGUUGGGAAAGAAAAGCAGCAGGUUAAUACCCCGCUGUUCUGACGGUACCCAAAGAAUAAGCACCGGCUAACUUCGUG
rnacentral:rRNA from 1 species